rnacentral:rRNA from 1 species
UAAUACGGAGGGUGCAAGCGUUAAUCGGAAUUACUGGGCGUAAAGCGCACGCAGGCGGUCGUGUAAGUCGGAUGUGAAAGCCCUGGGCUUAACCUGGGAACUGCAUUCGAUACUGCACGGCUAGAGUAUGGGAGAGGGAAGCGGAAUUUCCGGUGUAGCGGUGAAAUGCGUAGAUAUCGGAAGGAACACCAAUGGCGAAGGCAGCUUCCUGGCCCAAUACUGACGCUCAGGUGCGAAAGCGUGGGGAUCAAACAGGAUUAGAUACCCUGGUAGUCCACGCUGUAAACGAUGAGAACUGGAUGUUGGGAGGGUUUUGCCUCUCAGUGUCGCAGCUAACGCGAUAAGUUCUCCGCCUGGGGAGUACGGCCGCAAGGUUGAAACUUAAAUGAAUUGACGG